CUAAAGCUUCUCAAAACCACCCGCCUCCCUUUCGUCCCUCUCAACCCGCCUCCCUCUCUUUCUCUCUCACUUUCGUCCCUCAAACCCGCAAUUUCGUCCCUCAAACCCUAAAAUUUCGUCCCUCAAACGCAUCAGGAAGUCCCUCUCUUUGUCUCUCACUUUCGUCCCUCUUCUUCACGUCGAACACGUUCUCUUCAACAUCUGCUUCAGUUCGCAUCAACCGACGAUCGAAUCUUCGACGUCAUGAACUUCAGUGAGCGAUCUUCAGCGUCGACGACACCAACAACACUUCGAACAACGAACGAAUCUUCAGCGAACGGACGAAUCUUCAGAAUUCAGAUCUUGUUUGAAGACCUCGUGUUUUCAUUUCCGUUAAUUUUUCGAAGAACUCGUUUUUUCAUCCUAAAAUCUCCAGAUGUGUUCGAAGUAUAACAACGAGAUGGAAGGUCAAGAUGUGAAGGAAGCUCCAACAUUUUUUUUACUAUUAUUGAUAGAUUUGUUUUUAUGAAUUAUUGUAAUAUAUAUGUUCUAAAAUUCGAAGCAUUUUCGUUUUUAUUUUUCCAGAUCUGGUCGAAUUUUUGUACAGUAUUGUUAUUAGUUUUAUUUGAUUUUCAAUCCUCUA